GGUCCCCAGAUGUUGUUGGACUACAACUCCCAUCAUCCCUAGCGAUGGGAGUUGUAGUCCAACAACAUCUGGGGACCCA